AGUCGAGAAUCUUUCGCAAUGGGGGAAACCCUGACGAAGCGACGCCGCGUGAGCGAUGAAGGUCUUCGGAUUGUAAAGCUCUGUCACUUGGGACGAAAUUUAAUUCUGCUAAUACCAGUAUUAAUUGACGGUACCGAGAGAGGAAGCCACGGCUAACUCCGUGCCAGCAGCCGCGGUAAUACGGAGGUGGCUAGCGUUGUUCGGAUUUAUUGGGCGUAAAGAGUGUGUAGGCGUUUUGUCAGGUCGUAUGUGAAAGCCUUUGGCUUAACCAAAGAACUGCAUGCGAAACCGACAGAAUUGAGUACAAGAGAGGAGAACGGAAUUCCCGGUGUAGAGGUGAAAUUCGUAGAUAUCGGGAAGAACACCGGUGGCGAAGGCGGUUCUCUGGCUUGAUACUGACGCUGAGACACGAAAGCUAGGGGAGCAAACAGGAUUAGAUACCCUGGUAGUCCUAGCCGUAAACGAUGGGCACUAGGUGUAGAUCCUUUGGGGUCUGUGCCGCAGCUAACGCAUUAAGUGCCCCGCCUGGGGAGUACGAUCGCAAGAUUGAAACUCAAAGGAAUUGACGGGGACCCGCACAAAUGGUGGAGCAUGUGGUUUAAUUCGACGAUACGCGAGGAACCUUACCAGGGCUUGACAUGUAUAUGAAAAUCCGUUGAAAGACGGAUCCUCCUUCGGGACAUAUACACAGGUGCUGCAUGGCUGUCGUCAGCUCGUGCCGUGAGGUGUUAGGUUAAGUCCUGCAACGAGCGCAACCCCUGUUCUUAGUUGCUAAGUUCUUUGAACUGCACUCUAAGAAGACUGCCACAGAUAAUGUGGAGGAAGGCGGGGAUGACGUCAAGUCAGUAUGGCCCUUAUGUCCUGGGCGACACACGUGCUACAAUGGUCUGUACAAAGGGUUGCCAAACCGCAAGGUGGAGCUAAUCCCAAAAAGCAGGCCUCAGUUCGGAUUGAAGGCUGCAAUUCGCCUUCAUGAAGCUGGAAUCAUUAGUAACCCCAUAUCAGCCAUGAUGGGGUGAAUACGUUCCCGGGUCUUGUACACACCGCCCGUCAAGUCAACCGAGUCAAAUGUACCCGAAGUCACUGACUUAAUCCGCCCUCGGGUGGAAGGGAAGGUUUCGAAGGUAUGUUUGGUAAGCGGGACU
rnacentral:rRNA from 1 species